rnacentral:rRNA from 1 species
GACGAACGCUGGCGGCGUGCUUAACACAUGCAAGUCGAGCGAGGCCCUGCCUUCGGGUGGGUGUUCUAGCGGCGAACGGGUGAGUAACACGUGGGCAACCUGCCCCUGGCUCUGGGAUAACUCCAAGAAAUUGGGGCUAAUACCGGAUAUGACCGCUGACCGCAUGGUCUGGUGGUGGAAAGAUUUAUCGGCUGGGGAUGGGCCCGCGGCCUAUCAGCUUGUUGGUGGGGUAGUGGCCACCAAGGCGACGACGGGUAGCCGGCCUGAGAGGGUGACCGGCCACACUGGGACUGAGACACGGCCCAGACUCCUACGGGAGGCAGCAGUGGGAAGGUAUUGCGCAAUGGGCGAAAGCCUGACGCAGCGACGCCGCGUGGGGAUGACGGCCUCGGUUGUAA